AUGAAUUACACAACUGAGAAAUUACUACUAAUAAUAUUAAUCACCAACCUCAGAAAGUCCAAAAAGGCAAGGUGAUAACUGGCAAACCAAAUGAGAUCAAAGAGAAAAGUCGGGGGUCGUCUUAUAUGCCCAGUCAUCUUAUACGCCGGAAAAUACGGGUUCUUACAUUUGCAAAACAGGGCCAUAAUGUGCCACUAUAACUCCUGCUGAUUGUACUGAACAAAAAUUGUGCCAAGUCCAGCUCAUGUCAAGAAUGAGGCAAAGGCAUUUCAGUUCUGCA